GAUGAACGCUGGCGGCGUGCCUAAUACAUGCAAGUCGAGCGAACAGACGAUGAGCUUGCUCCUCUGACGUUAGCGGCGGACGGGUGAGUAACACGUGGAUAACCUACCUAUAAUACUGGGAUAACUUCGGGAAACCGGAGCUAAUACCGGAUAAUAUCUUGAACCGCAUGGUUCAAUAGUGAAAGACGGUUUUGCUGUCACUUAUAGAUGGAUCCGCGCCGCAUUAGCUAGUUGGUAAGGUAACGGCUUACCAAGGCAACGAUGCGUAGCCGACCUGUGAGGGUGAUCGGCCACACUGGAACGGGGACACGGUCCAGACUCCUACGGGAGGCAGCAGUAGGGAAUCGGCCGCAAUGGGCGAAAGCCUUACGGAGCAACGCCGCGUGAGUGAUGAAGGUCUUCGGAUCGUAAAACUCUGUUAUUAGGGAAGAACAGAUGUGUAAGUAACUAUGCACGGCUUGACGGUACCUAAUCAGAAAGCCACGGCUAACUACGUG
rnacentral:rRNA from 1 species